rnacentral:pre_miRNA from 1 species
GUGCGUUGGUGGUGUUCAGCACCAAGGACAGGUGUGUUUACUGUGUGUGGGUUGUGUUCAGCACCAAGGACAGGUUUGUUUGGGA